rnacentral:rRNA from 1 species
GGGAAUCUACCGUGCCCUGCGGAAUAGCUCCGGGAAACUGGAAUUAAUACCGCAUACGCCCUACGGGGGAAAGAUUUAUCGGGGUAUGAUGAGCCCGCGUUGGAUAGCUAGUUGGUGGGGUAAAGGCCUACCAAGGCGACGAUCCAUAGCUGGUCUGAGAGGAUGAUCAGCCACAUUGGGACUGAGACACGGCCCAAACUCCUACGGGAGGCAGCAGUGGGGAAUAUUGGACAAUGGGCGCAAGCCUGAUCCAGCCAUGCCGCGUGAGUGAUGAAGGCCUUAGGGUUGUAAAGCUCUUUCACCGGAGAAGAUAAUGACGGUAUCCGGAGAAGAAGCCCCGGCUAACUUCGUGCCAGCAGCCGCGGUAAUACGAAGGGGGCUAGCGUUGUUCGGAAUUACUGGGCGUAAAGCGCACGUAGGCGGAUAUUUAAGUCAGGGGUGAAAUCCCAGAGCUCAACUCUGGAACUGCCUUUGAUACUGGGUAUCUUGAGUAUGGAAGAGGUAAGUGGAAUUGCGAGU